UACAGAGACCUCAAGCGUUAUCCGGAAUCAUUGGGCGUAAAGCGUACCGAUAGGUGGUUUUGAUAGUUUUGGGUAAAAGCCAGAAGCUCAACUUCUGAGUUUGCUCAAAAUACUUCAUGACUAGAGGGGCAAAGAGGUCCUUGGAACGAACGGUGUAGUAGUGAAAUGCGUUGAUAUCGUUCGGAACACCGAAAGCGAAGGCAGAGGACUGGGUGCCACCUGACACUGCUAGGACGAAAGCGUGGGGAGCGAAUGGG
rnacentral:rRNA from 1 species